rnacentral:misc_RNA from 1 species
GUUCGAUUUGCAUUGUAUUUUGGUAAUUGACAGUAGUAACUUUGAAGAUGAGUUCUUCUACACAAGGGACUACUUUGUCCACAAAUGUGGUAGGGUUAGUUGAUGGGUCUUCUGCCUCUCAUCGAGAGGCUUCUGUUUUUGAUGGUUUGCCAAUAUAUGUGAAGGAGCUGAUUGCUGGAGGAGCUGCUGGUGCAUUUGCCAAAACUGCAGUUGCCCCAUUAGAGCGUGUCAAAAUACUUUUGCAGACAAG